rnacentral:rRNA from 1 species
CAUGCCGCGUGUGUGAAGAAGGCUUCGGGUUGUAAAGCACUUUUAUCCGGAAAGAAAAGCGCUGGGUUAAUACCCUGGUGUCCUGACGGUACCGGAAGAAUAAGCACCGGCUAACUUCGUGCCAGCAGCCGCGGUAAUACGAAGGGUGCAAGCGUUACUCGGAAUUACUGGGCGUAAAGCGUGCCUAGGUGGUUUGUUAAGUCUGAUGUGAAAGCCCUGGGCUCAACCUGGGAAUUGCAUUGGAUCCUGGCAGGCUAGAGUGCGGUAGAGGGUAGUGGAAUUCCCGGUGUAGCAGUGAAAUGCGUAGAGAUCGGNAGGAACAUCUGUGGCGAAGCGACUACCUGGACCAGCACUGACACUGANGCACGAAAGCGUGGGGAGCAAACAGGAUUAGAUACCUGGUAGUCCACGCCCUAAACGAUGCGA